GACGAACGCUGGCGGCGUGCCUAAGACAUGCAAGUCGAGCGGGCCAGUCCGCAAGGGCUGGUCAGCGGCAGACGGGUGAGUAACACGUGGGUAACCUGCCCGCUGCAGUGGGAUAACAGCUCGAAAGGGCUGCUAAUACCGCAUAAGCUCACGGAGGCGGGUGCCUCUGGGAGAAAAGGGGCGCCGGGAGGAGCCCCGGCAGCGGAGGGGCCCGCGGCCCAUCAGGUAGUUGGCGGGGUAAAGGCCCACCAAGCCUGCGACGGGUAGCCGGCCUGAG
rnacentral:rRNA from 1 species